GAUGAACGCUAGCGAUAGGCCUAACACAUGCAAGUCGAGGGGCAGCAUAGAGUAGCAAUACUUUGAUGGCGACCGGCGCACGGGUGAGUAACACGUAUGCAACCUACCUACAUCAGGGGAAUAACCCGGAGAAAUUCGGACUAAUACCGCAUAAUACAGGGAUGCCGCAUGGCAAUAUUUGUUAAAGAUUUAUCGGAUGUAGAUGGGCAUGCGUUCCAUUAGCUUGUUGGUGAGGUAACGGCUCACCAAGGCAACGAUGGAUAGGGGAGCUGAGAGGUUUGUCCCCCACACUGGAACUGAGACACGGACCAGACUCCUACGGGAGGCAGCAGUGAGGAAUAUUGGUCAAUGGACGAGAGUCUGAACCAGCCAAAUCGCGUGAAGGAAGACUGCCCUACGGGUUGUAAACUUCUUUUGUACAGGAAUAAAAGACAUUACGUGUAAUGUAUUGCAUGUACUGUACGAAUAAGCAUCGGCUAACUCCGUGCCAGCCGCCGCAGUAA
rnacentral:rRNA from 1 species